CAGACAGAAAGUGUGUUUCACGGGUAUAUUCAUGAGUGACCCAUUAAGUAUUGUAUCUAGCAGUUGUUCACCGUGAAUAAGAGCCCCGAAGCGGCCGUGGCUCCGUUCCGCCCUCUGGGAGACGCUGAAGCGCGGCGGUGGCGGCGGCGGCGCUCCGGCGUGAAUUCCAACACGUUUCCGAGUGGGGAAAACAAACGGCGUGAAUAGAGGAAGGGUGGAGAGAAGGAGGAGGCUGGGAAGGAAGGAGAGCAGCAGGGACGAGUGUUUCCUUCUGUAGAAGGAAGGGGGCGAACCGAAGAAAGUUGCUGAAGGAACACUGCGGGGGAUCUGACAACAGCUGGAUGAGGAAGGAGAUCGAGGGCUGAGCUCAUUUUGUGACACCCGCAUCCCUCCCCCUUGUCUCCUGGCCUUCAGCAGUUCUCAUGAUGGAGCAAGGAGUGGAGGGAGAGAAGGAGCGACAGAGAGAGCGAGGAGAGGAGAAGGAGAGUGAUGAAGCAGAGGACCUUGGGAAGGCUAUAGAAGGAGCAGCCCUUGUGUGGCAAGAAAGGGGUACCGAUGAUGACCUGGGCCUACCCAUCAUGCACUGGGAGGCCCUUAGUUUGCGAAUUGCUGAGCUGGAGAAACAGGAGGAGGAAAGGAGAGAAAGAUCCAAGUGUACUAGUGUCCUGGAGCAAGAUGGUGUGUCUGGGGUCUGGAGGGAUUCAAGUCGAAGAGACGUAUGGGAUGACAGCGAGGACGAAUGCAACAGCCGUGUCAUUGCUCUCACCUCAAGGCUCCAAAACCAGAUGAAUCUUCAGCUCUGCUUUAUCAACAACAGUGAGAGUGAAGAUGAAGAUGAUGAAGACACUGCGCAGCCGCCCCCCCAAGCUAGGAACCCAUCCCCAACCCCAGUGACUACAGGUGGCAGCAGGUCAACCGGCUUCAAGCUGGAAGUGAGGGCUGCACUGACCGCUCUCCGAGACAAGCUGCGGACUGAGCAGAAGGAACAGUGUGUACCGUGCUCUGAUACUGUGACGAAAAGGAAGAAGUUGGAGCGCAGUGACCUCCAGGCUCUCAGUCUGAAGCAACUGGAUGCACUGAGGGUCUCUCUCACCCAGAGUGUUCAUGAUCUGAGCUCAGAACUGGUACGCCGACUCUUGACCAGAGACCAGCUGCGGACAGAGCAGGAUGCUAUGCUCCUAGAGGUGCAGGAUAUGACAUUGUGAUGUGACCAUUUGAACUGCAAAGAAGCCACACGUCUCUACUGGAUGAUAUCACUUUUUGGACACUCCUGCCAAAAUGGCUGGGAAUAAAAGCUGCAGUGUGUUGCCCA
rnacentral:lncRNA from 1 species